rnacentral:lncRNA from 1 species
AGUCCAGUGUGUGUGAGUGGCUAGAGUCCAGUGUGUGUGAGUGGCUAGAGUCCAGUGUGUGUGAGUGGCUAGAUUCCAGUGUGUGUGUGUGAGAGUGGGUGUGUGUGUGAGAGUGGGUAGAGUCCAGUGUAUGUGUGUGUGAGUGGCUAGAGUCCAGUGUGUGUGUUUCAGUGUGUGUGUGUGAGUGGCUAGAGUCCAGUGUGAGUGGCUAGAGUCCAGUGUGUGUGUGAGUGGCUAGAGUCCAGUGUGUGUGUGUGAGUGGCUAGAGUCCAGUGUGAGUGGCUAGAGUCCAGUGUGUGUGUGUGAGAGUGGGUGUGUGUGUGUGUGUGUGUGUGUGUGUGGAGAGUGGCUAGAGUCCAGUGUGUGUGUGUGAGUGGCUAGAGUCCAGUGUGUGAGUGGCUAGAGUCCAGAGUGUGUGUGUGUGUGAGUGGCUAGAGUCCAGUGUGUGUGUGUGUGUGUGUGAUUGGCUAGAGUCCAGUGUGUGUGUGUGUGUGUGUGUGUGUAUGUGAGUGGCUAGAGCUUUAUGUGUGUGUGUGAGUGGCUAGAGGUGUGUGUGUGUGUGAGUGGCUAGAGUCUAGUGUGAGUGUGUAGAGUCUAGUGUGAGUGGGUAGAGUCUAGUGUGAGUGUGUAGAGUCUAGUGUGAGUGGGUAGAUUCUAGUGUGAG